UGGGGAAUAUUGCACAAUGGGCGCAAGCCUGAUGCAGCCAUGCCGCGUGUAUGAAGAAGGCCUUCGGGUUGUAAAGUACUUUCAGUCGGGAGGAAGGUGGUAAGGUUAAUAACCAUAUCAAUUGACGUUACCGACAGAAGAAGCACCGGCUAACUCCGUGCCAGCAGCCGCGGUAAUACGGAGGGUGCAAGCGUUAAUCGGAAUUACUGGGCGUAAAGCGCACGCAGGCGGUUGAUUGAGUCAGAUGUGAAAUCCCCGGGCUUAACCCGGGAAUUGCAUCUGAUACUGGUCAGCUAGAGUCUUGUAGAGGGGGGUAGAAUUCCAGGUGUAGCGGUGAAAUGCGUAGAGAUCUGGAGGAAUACCGGUGGCGAAGGCGGCCCCCUGGACAAAGACUGACGCUCAGGUGCGAAAGCGUGGGGAGCAAACAGG
rnacentral:rRNA from 1 species